UUUGAUCGCGCCCGUUCAGGUGUGCCGGGAAUCGUCCGGCACAGGGAAGCCGGUGCGGGCCCAAGCUUAUGGCCGCAAACCCAAAUCCGGCGCUGCGCCCGCAACUGUGAGCGGUGAGCGAUCCUUCAAUCGGCCACUGGGCAGCACUUGCCCGGGAAGGCGAAGGAUUGCGACGACCCGUGAGCCAGGAGACCGGCCUGAGUACGUCAUCUUCCA
rnacentral:ncRNA from 21 species